CAGUCGCCGCGGGAACACGAAGGGGGCUAGCGUUGUUCGGAAUCACUGGGCGUAAGGCGCACGUAGGCGGAUACUUAAGUCAGGGGUGAAAUCCCGGGGCUCAACCUCGGAACUGCCUUUGAUACUGGGUAUCUUGAAUCCGGGAGUGGUUGGUGGGACUCCGAGUGUAGAGGUGAAAUUCGUAGAUAUUCGGAAGAACACCAGUGGCGAAGGCGGCCAACUGGCCCGGUACUGACGCUGAGGUGCGAAAGCAUGGGGAGCAAACAGGAUUAGAUACCCCAGUAGUCCCUGUCUCUUAUAC
rnacentral:rRNA from 1 species